CACGUAGGGCGCGAGCGUUGUCCGGAAUUAUUGGGCGUAAAGAGCUCGUAGGUGGUCCGCUACGUCCGCUGUGAAAACCCAGGGCUUAACCCUGGGCUUGCAGUGGAUACGGGCAGACUGGAGUACUGCAGGGGAGACUGGAAUUCCUGGUGUAGCGGUGGAAUGCGCAGAUAUCAGGAGGAACACCGGUGGCGAAGGCGGGUCUCUGGGCAGUAACUGACGCUGAGGAGCGAAAGCGUGGGGAGCGAACAGG
rnacentral:rRNA from 1 species